CCCUUAGAUGUUCUGGGCUGCACGCGCGCUACACUGAAGCUAUCAACACGUUUUCCCUCCCUGAGAAGGGCGGGUAACCUUUUGAAUCAGCUUCGUGGUAGGGAUCGGGGCUUGCAAUUGCUCCCCGUGAACCAGGAAUUCCUAGUAGACGCGAGUCAUAAGCUCGCAUCGAUUAAGUCCCUGCCCUUUGUACACACCGCCCGUCGCUACUACCGAUUGAACGUUUUAGUGAGGCAUUUGGACCGACGCAUCUCAGUUUAACCGCUGGUUUGUGUUGGAAAGACUUCCAAACUUGAGCGUUUAGAGGAAGUAAAAGUCGUAACA
rnacentral:rRNA from 1 species